ensembl:lncRNA
UUUUUUUUUUUUUUUUUUUUUUUUAAUCAAGGCUAUUUCAGUGACUUUGCCUCAGUUUCCAAUAUAGCUUUGCAAACAGUUAAAUCAGUAUUGCUGAAGGAUGGCACAGGGUUAAUAACAGCGGCAGGGAGAUGACUGUCAGAAGCAGGGGUGCUUUUCCCAAAUAAAUGUCAUGGGACCCCUCCUGAGGCACCAUCAUUUUGGUGAUCCAGCUGCGUCAUUUUUGACAAAGUGCUGAUACAAUCAUUUGUUUGGCUAAGACUGGGGAGAAAAACCAAACCAACCCCAAACCACAUUAUCAUUUCUGCUUUUUGUCAGACAUUUUGUCAUUUUAACACAACAUUUAUGUUCUAUACAUUUAGUGGAAAACACGAUAGGGACAGAAAGAAGAGCUGGAGAGACUGUUCAGAAAAGGCCUCUGUCCAACCACUGCUCAAACCCACCUCACACACGUGGCUCUUUCCUCUCCUCUUUGUUCACAGACUCACAGGAUGGGUCAGGCUGGAGGGAACCACCGUGGGUCACCUGGUCCCACCUCCCUGCUCCAGCAGGACACAGCACAGGAUUGUGUCCAGAGGGUUCUGGAGUAUCUCCAGUCAGGAAAGCUCCACACCCUCUCUGGACAAUCUGUUCAGUGCUCAGUCACUGUACAGGAAAAAAAUUCUUCCUCAUGUUCAGAUGGAACUUCUGGGCAUCAGUUCCUGCUCGUUCCUCCUGCCCCACAGGUGGGCACCACCAGCUGCUGUUGGGAUCUCCUGUCUCCUACAGCACCAAACCACCCACCCAUGGCAGGGUUUGGAAGCAAACAACUCCACCUGGGAGACAGAAACUCUGAUCCUCCUACCUGUAUUUCCCAUGCGUUUUUUUGCACACCAUUGACAACAAUGCAAAAUGAGUAACCCCAAAUAGAUAUGAAAAGAUUCAACUGAUUCAUAAGAGGUUUAACAGUAGGUGUUUUGUUCUUCACUAAUCAUAGAUACUGUAUUUUCAGUUGUUUUCAGAGAGAGAAGCAUAAAUAGAGCAGGAUGUCUUGUUUAGCAUGGGCUGAUGUAACAGAAACCAGGAACAACACUGACUUUACAAGGAAACCUGUGUCUUAACUUGAUUUCCUGAAUAAAGGAACUCUGAUAAGCAUUUUGAAAGCUUAUCUGGACUGAUCCAUUGAAAAUGUGACUUGAUCUUUACUGAGCAGAAGUCUCUUCAGAAGGUAUUUCAGAACCUGCAGGUUCAGGUCUUUGGGAUGGUGGUAUUUUUCAUUAGAGAUUUGCCUGCACUGAAAGAAUAUGUAAUAAAAACAAAAACCAAUCACUUACUGAAAAAAAAAAAAAACAAACCCCAAACCAAUUACAUGAUUGACAACAGAAGUACUUAAAAAUCACACAUUUGUCCUCUUCUUUGUAAAGGAAACAAAAACUAUGAUCUGAACAGGACCAAUAUAAAUUUCUUAAGACCAUAUCCUGGUCCUUUUUUUAAUAUAGAUUACCCUUGGGAAAAAAUGUAUCCAUGCACUUUCAAACUUUUAUAUCUUUAAAAUAGUGCCAGUUACAUCAUUACUUUCAUGGUCUCUAGACCAGACUCCAGUAGCUUGGAUGCCUACAUGUAAGCAUCUGAGUUCAUCAGGGGAAGUGGAUAUUUUUGAUUGAGAGGAAGGAAUAUUAGAGGGACUUUCUUCUCAGUGAUACUAAGAAGCCAUUGGACAAGUAUUUUGUUAUGUGAAGAUUUGAAUUCACAAUUUCCAGUGAAAUUUUUUGUAUCUACUAGUGGCAGAAAAAGAACUGAGUUAAGAGUAUCAAGACUCUGGAAAACAUUGCAGAUUCUCAGUGAAGCUUCCCUUUUCUACCCCAAUUCCCAAGAAACUUUUGUCCCACUGGGACUAAUGGCAAUUUCCUUCCUCUCACUCAGCUCUCAAUUUGCAAUUACAUACCCAUGGAGAAAAACUGUUUUGACUAUUCUCACAAGAGAAACCACAGGACUCACUUAUAGACAGAAAAACCAAACCACCAUUAGAGAACAUCUCACAAACUGACUUGAAUAGCACUGAGUGUAUUUAUACAAAUACACAACUCAAGCUUCCAAACAAACCAAACUGCAUCUCAAGAAACUGUAAGAUGGGAAAUUCUCCCAACCAUUCCUAGGGAUUUCCUGUUUCACAGGUUCCCAAGUGAAGUGCAGCUGAAGGGGAAAGCAAGGAAAAAUGUACUUAAAGGCAGGGUUAGCUUUGGAUUUUAUGAAUGUCAAGCUGAUAGUAGAAACUACUUCUCUUCCUCACAUCAUCCUGUGAGAGCUCUGUGAGAGGCCUGUUCCAACUCUUUACUGACAUGCACAAGACACAGUGGAGCACCCCUAGAGAAAUUCCAAGCAUAACCUGCCUCUUGAUAAUAGCAAACUUAAUAAAAACCAGCAAACAAAAAAAGGACAUUUCAGUUUGGUGUUUUGCUUAUCCUACAGUUACAUAUGAUGAACACGUAUACAUGCUUUGAGUACAACCCCAUUGUGUCCUAUACAUCAAAUUAAUGGAAUGCCACCAUUUUUGGGAAGAUUCAAAAAUAUAAGAGAGUUGUCCUACAGCAAAUAAGUCUGCAGAUUUAAGCACAACUUUUUAUUUCAUUUGAAAUGCUCUGACUCACCCAUUGCUGUAAGGGAAUCCUGAACUGCUUAGACAAGGAUGGAGAACUGUCAUUGUUUGUGUUUCGUAAAUGCAAGAUGGAGCUGCUUGAGCUGAGGUUUUGACUCUGCCACACCCCAUGUCCCAAAGCUGCUUCUGCUGUUUGCACCUUUAAAACUCUCACCUGUGCACCAUUACAAGAUUUAGUAUCUACCAUGUGCAAAAUGCCUGAUUUUAAAAGUGGUUGAUGUUGUAAGAAAUGGACAGGGAAAAGAGAUUACAGCCAAAAUAGUGUCUUAAAUUGGUUAUUGAAGAUUUUGUCCUUUUAGACAUCCACAUAAAAAGCAACAUGCACAACAGUUGAGGCUUUUAAAAUAAGUAAUUCCUAGAUACUUAUCAAAAAGAUGUGUGUAUGAAGCACUAAAUUAAAUCCAGUAAGAGCAUGUGACAUCCUCUGUUCUUGGAGAAAAACAAAAAUACCAGAUAAUAACAGAUUUUGGAUAAUAUUGGAUUCUGUCCCAGGAUUAACAAAAGUUAACAAGAUAUCCAUUCACCUAGUUUGCUGAGCAUCAGGAUUGGCUCUUUUCAAAUGUUUACAAAAAAAUCCUCGUAAUUUUUCUCAGAGCUGGUUUAGAAAUGUGAUUUUUCAUUUCCAAGCCAGAAAACCAGCAGGCUACAAAGGUAUCAGCCCAGCAACUAAUAUUAAGUCAAUACACAUAAAACCACCAUAGAAACACAAAGAUGGGAUUUUUUUCCUCUUCUUUGCAGCACUUGCCAAAUUCUAUUAAGUUACAACAGUCACUCUGAAGAUAAGUUAAUAUAUACACAGUAUUUUAUUAUCACCUUCUCAAACUCCUGCAUGGAAACACAUGCAAGAAAUGUCAAUUUCUCUGCACUGUUUUGGAAGAGCAGAGAUCCUUGCUCAGAUCAUCUCCUGUCAAACAAGGGAUUUCUUUGGAAGGUGGCAAGUCAUAAGCUGCCACAUCUGGUUCCUAGGAGGAAGACAGACAUUCACCUAAAACUAUUACCAUAAAUGAAAGCAUUUCCACAUUUGGAAUACACACCAAAAACACAACCAAAAGUGCUGAAGGUGGGAGGUACAGGCACAGCUGAAAAAAAGGUCUAAAAAAUGACCAACAGUAGCACUGAAAAGGAACCACCCCCCGGACAAGCAUAAUUUUUGACAUUAUUUAUUUCUCCAAGUCAGCAGAAACUGUCAGUUAGUACAACAUAGAUCUAUACACAGCAAAAAUAGGAUACAGAUCUUCUAACAAUUGUUUCUUCUGCUGGUAGAGCUUCAGCAAAGGGUCCCUGCACUCAUGCUGGCAUGCACAGAACUGGUCUCUUACACAGCAAAUCCACAGAACACCCCAAAACGCCCUGCUUUCUGAAUUUCAUCAAACAGCUCAGAAUACAGUUAAGGUGAUGGCACAAAUUCAUGGUUUUCCAUGUUUGCACUGAAUUGCUGACAUGUUGCUGCACAGGGAUGGAUAUUACUGCUUACCUGGUGACUGUGUGGACUUCUUAUGACCAUGAAUUACCACUUAACUCCCAAAUGCAUUCCCACAUUAAGCCUUUCAAAGACAAUCCAGGUUUUAAACUCAUCCUAACCAAGGACAGAGAGAGCAAUAGACAAAAACGACCACAUGAUUCAAGCAAGACAGAAUAAUAAUAAUUAAAGUCUAUAACCACAGCAUUUAGCCUUUAUUUUCAAAAUUUUCAUUAAAAAACCCUGUAUUUUUUUCUUUAUAAUAACCCAUUUCCUAGACUAGUUCACUCCCCUUACUACCCAAUGCUGGGAAAGUAUUUAUGAGAUUAAAAAGCAAUUUUUUCUUCAACAUAGUAAUAAAGAGCAUUGUGAUGAUUUUUUUCCUAUUUUCAUUAAUAAUUCUCCUAUCCAUGUAUAGGUUUUCCUUAUUGCUAGCAAAGCAUUUGCAUUUUUUGUGCGGAAAAAAAAACAACAUAAAAUGAAUAUAUAAAUGGGGUUUAGAUCAGCUUCCCCAGUUUCUUGACCACCAUAUACUGUUAAAACACAGAUCAUCACACAACACCCACCAGAACUUUAGAGUGGGUAGUUAGAAAGAAAAUUGCAGAUAAUUUAAAUACAAACUCCUGGACAAUAGAAAAGCCACUGCUAGAGUACAAAAAGGAAGUACCACAAGAUUUUUUGUUCCAAAUAUCAAGAAAAUUGUUCAGUAAUUUAUAUUUACCUUGGAGUAAAAGAAAACAACAGUAAGGAAAACAAAUGCAGAAAAACAUUAAUGAAACUCCUUUCUCCUUGACCUACUGGCAGAUUUUACUAGUUUAUGCUGCUUUCCCUCAUGUGCCAAAUAGCCACGUAUUUUAGGCAGGUUGACUAAAAUUUGGCAAGAUGGCAACAAUGUAAGUAUUAAUUUAUGUUCUGUAGGACACAAAAUGGCAUCCUGUGGGUUCUGUUGGUCAGUCUGCAUUUUUUGUUGCUGUCUUUCAAUACAUGCACGUUGCCACAUGAAUCCAAGGCUGUCUCAUCACAUUUUGCCUGCUCUGCUGCAAAAGGAUUUGCCUCAUAGUCUGAGGCCUCCUGAGCUACUGGGAGCAUAAUGUUGACUCCACACCUCAAAAUCCUUAAAGAGCAGCAUCAGUAGAGAUCACACGUGGCUCCUGAGCUUCUGCAGACUCUUGGCUAAGGAGAGGACCUCUGCCCUCAUUUGAUUAGCUGGUCAAGGCUUGCAGCUGCCCAGAACUUCAAAGUUUUCAAAAAUGAAAACCAAACCAAUUGGAACUGAUAUACCCAGCUUCAAACACCACAGUUUUUCCAGGGGUAGAUCUUGCUGCAGGUGACUAUAAAGUAUGCCUGGAGUACUUUAUUUUGUGGAAGACCAUGAGAUUUCAAUUGUGUCCAACAGGGACUGAUCUACUGCUCCUUCAAAUUUGCUACCUGACUUGGAAGUGACAGCAAAUAAACAAACAAAUAAGAACAUCUGGAAAUUCAAAGCCAUCAGUUCAGGCAGGGUAUAGGGGGUUAAGGGUGGCACUGACAGGACUAGAGAGGUAACUCAGGGGUUGUGACUUCAACUGCACACAAGUUUCAGCUGGACUAGGACUCUGCUUCUGUGGUCCCCUGAUUUGCUCUGUUGUUCAACAAUCCCUUUCUUCCACUGAGAAAUGGUUUUGUCUACUCAACUUUCUGCUGAUUUAUAUUCGGGAUACUGCAAAGUGGAAAUUUUACACCUGAGAGUCCAGAACCACAGAAACAAUCUGCAUUGAAAUCCCAUAUUUAUGGCACAUUCCCAACCAGUCAGGCUCUUGGCACUGAUUUUGGCACCUGAGGAAAGUCUGCUGAGAAAAUCCAUGACAGAGAACCACGGACAAUACACAUGAACACAGAUGUUUGAUCAUAGUGUUUCCACUAUUAGCAGACUGGCCCAUUCCCAGAACCAAAAAUAACUUGGGCUUUAUCUGAAUUUCAAACUUGCAACUCACAAGUUGCAAGAGACUUUAAACACAAGUGCCUGUCUCUUAUACCACUACUCCCAACAAACUGGCAGCUGACUCUUUUAUGAAGAAAUGCAACAUCAUCAAACCAAGAUGCUUUUUUUUGUUCUUCCUGCAUUUGCAUCAGAAAGCAGAGCUACAUUACAAGAGUCUGCUUUUAAGAGCAGCAUGGACACACUACUCAGUCUUCACUUGCAUUAUUUAAGACUUUGUCUUGACCAGGUCUCCAUUCCUGCCAGUCUCUCUUCACCAUCAGGACCAGAAAAUGUGUGAGGAUCCACCUGUAAAACACCACUGACACAUUAGUUGAACACUUAUAGAGGCAGAGCACAAUUAGAGAGUGCAAUUAAAGGAGAACCAGCAAGCAGCAGCAUCCACUGCAUAAGCCGGUCUUUGACCUUGUUCAUGGAAUUCCCAAAAGCAGCAAACGGCCUUUACUUUUGCUUUAGAGCACCUGGUAAUCAUCAAACAGGAAAUUCAAAUGGGAAAAGCCAGCGCAGACAUGGAGCUUCAGCCGGACACCAGAGAAGCGAUGCAGUGCUGUUACAGAAGGGUGUUCUGAUCCAUUUCCAGCAAAAUGGGAAUGAGCUGUGUCCUCCCACACCCACAGCAGAGCCAAGAUCGAAUGAUCUGCAAACACCUUACUUAAAAAGCCCUAAAGCCUCCUGGCUGUGUGGUACUGUAAAGAGAAACGGGAUUAUUUGGGUCCUUAGUAGAGCUGGGAAGGGUGGAGGAACCCAAGGAUGGUGUGGAGGCACAGGAACAAGCAUGGAUUUCCCAUUCCUGGAAGUGUUCAACGCCAGGUUGAAUGGGACCCUGAGCAACCUGGUCUAGGGGAAGGUGUCCCUGCCCAUGGCAAGGAAAUGACCUUUUAAGUCCCUCAAGGCAGUCUAUGAUGCUCAGGUAACGCUUCAUCUACAAGUCGCACCGGUGCUGCGCUACGCCGUAUGAAGAAAGGAAAACAAGCAGCAAACCCCCUUUCCUCCCCGCGCCUGCAGAAGCUCAGAGCUGUACUCACACGGAGCCGUGCCCAGAACCCGCGUUCCCCGGCGUUCCCCGGCGUUCCCCGCCGCUCCCCGCGCCGUCCUUCGCGCUCCCCGGCCGCGGCGGGCCCGGGCCCUCCCCGCCCUCACGCCCUGAGGCCC